rnacentral:lncRNA from 10 species
AAAAAGUGUUAUUAUUUAUGGUAGGCAGAAUACUAAAAUUAGCCCCAUGAUCUCCACUGCUGGUGUUAGUCCUAUGAUUAUAUUAUGUUGCAUGGCAAACAGGAAUUUGGCAGUUGCAAUUAAGGUUAUCAAUCUGUUGACUGUAUUGUAGAGACCUUUUCCCAGUGGGCCUAACCUAACCACAUAAGCCCCAUAAAGCUGAGAAUUUUCUUCAAUUGGUAGCUGAAAAGAAAAUCAAAGAGAUUCAAAGUGUGAGAGGGAUUAUUUCAGGGAGACAUUGCUAGAAUGGAUUGGGCCACUCAGGCAAGAACUUGAGAAUGGCCUCUAAGAACUGAGAAAUGUACCCAGCCAACAGCCAGCAAGAAAACAGGGACCUCAGUCCUACAACUGCAAGGCACUCAGUUCUACCAAAAACCUGAAUGAGUUUGGAAGUGGAUUCUUCUACAGAGCCUCCAGCCAGCUCUCCUCUACUAGAGUUUGGAAGACUUUCAACCAAUCAGUCGUUCAGAAAAUAAUACUGGAUACCUACUAAGUUCAAGGCAUUGUUUGUGCUAUAUGAACACAGCAAUGAACAACAAUAAUAACAAUAAAUAAACAAAAACUCAUCUAUACUCAUGGAGUUUACAGUCAAGGGGCCAAGAGAGAAAAUUAAGAAAUAAAAUGAAUGAACUCCUCAAUCUGAACAGAUCAAUGGUGUUCAUCAACCAAUGUCACGAUUUGAGCAGCCAAUACCAGUAUAUCUGCUUCUGACAACAAGCAAGACUGAAGUUAAUCCAUUUAGCAUGAUGAUGAAAAUGAAGUCAUCAAUGAAGUUGCAAGCUUAGGAUAUCCUUCACAUUAACCACCAGUAGCCCAACUAUUUAACUAAAGGAACUUUGUAAUAUCUGGACUCAGAAACUGAGAUAAAUGCCAUAACCAAUCAUCCAACCGGAGACUGAGGUACAUGUAAUCAGGUUCAAAAGUGACUCUAAAGGUACUUGCCUGGCAGCAUGACAAAGUGGCAUAUUAUUACACUCCUUAAACACUUUGUGAGAAGCAGCAAUCACGUCUCCCUCCUAAAUGUAUCCAAACACAUCAGAGCAUUAGACAAACAACUCUAGACAUUUACCACAUUUCCAUUCUUGUAUAUUGACCCAAGGGAUAGGGAGGGACAAGGCUUGGUGAGGCAGAGAGCAUCCUGUUACACAUAACCCACCCAAAAGUACAGAAUUCAUUUCUUGAAUUGCUAUGACACCCUGGGCCCCUUUGUUUCUCAAUAAUAGAUGGACUCAUGUUUCCUUCCACCUUAUAAAAAUUCCCUUAGAAGGAAUUUAAAUGCAGUCUGUGAGCAUUAAAACAUUCUUUACUGGGACCACCCAUUCAUAAUGCUACCCUAGAAAAGAUAAAGAAAAAUGAAAUCUAGAUAUAAGAACCAAAGGGAUCAGGUGAACAGGAUCUUAAUCACUUCCACAGAGAAUAAGCUAGUGAAAUGAACUAGCAUGGUUUUCCCUUCAAAAGCAAUCCUGAAAUGAAAGAAAAAUGUCUUAUGUUGGGUGAAACAUACAUUUUUAGAUGGUAGACACAAACUGAAUUAUUUGCACCCUUAGAUUUUUUGAAGGCCAGAGAGAUCAAACAUUUCCCUGCUGUUUGUUUGAUUUGGUCUGAGGUGAAGCCAAGAGAUGUGGUGAUGGAAGCUUGGAAAAACAAUUAAAAAGAAAUGUAUGCAGUGGUUUUUCUGGGAUCCUAAUUAACUGGCCCAUUUCUAGGUAACAUUAGGGAAGUUGUGGGCUGUGAUUAUUAUCUCUUUAAAGUCCUAAUUAAAAUGUCAAACUGUAAGGUAGAAAGUCUUCAAAGCUGCAUGUAAUUUGAUUGUGUUGGCUUAUUGGAAAAAUGGCCUUGGAAAUACAAAUAAACCAGCCACUAAAAAGAUCCCAGAAGUCCAGGCUUUUUUCCAGAAGUAUAAUCUGUUGAACCAAUAGCAUUUUA